UACGUAGGAGGCGAGCGUUGUCCGGAUUUACUGGGCGUAAAGGGCGCGCAGGCGGCAUGUCAAGUAAGGUGUGAAAUCUCCCUGCUCAACGGGGAGGGUGCAUUUUAGACUGGCAAGCUAGAGGACGGUAGAGGGGGGUAGAAUUGCUGGUGUAGCGGUGAAAUGCGUAGAGAUCAGCAGGAAUACCCGUGGCGAAGGCGGCCCCCUGGGCCGAACCUGACGCUGAGGCGCGAAGGCUAGGGGAGCGAACGGG
rnacentral:rRNA from 1 species